GCUAGCCCUAACCUAGAUAGUUAGCCCAAACAAAACUAUCCGCCAGAGAACUCUAGCAACAGCUUAAAACUCAAAGGACUUGGCGGUGCUUUAUAUCCCUCUAGAGGAGCCUGUUCUAUAAUCGAUAAACCCCGAUAAACCUCACCAUCUCUUGUUAAUUCAGCCUAUAUACCGCCAUCUUCAGCAAACCCUAAAAAGGAAGAAAAGUAAGCACAAGUGUCUUAACACAAAAAAGUUAGGUCAAGGUGUAGCCUAUGAGAUGGGAAGCAAUGGGCUACAUUUUCUACAACUAGAACAUCCACGAAAAUCCUUAUGAAAUUAAGUAUUCAAGGAGGAUUUAGUAGUAAAUUUGAGAAUAGAGAGCUCAAUUGAAUCGGGCCAUGAAGCACGCACACACCGCCCGUCACCCUUGGGAAGGUCAA
rnacentral:rRNA from 1 species